GUUUGCCCUCCAAUUGGUUCUUGCAUGUGUUGAGCUGAUGGUAGUUCAGGCAUUCUAUGUUUUACUUCCUUCACUCAAUAACCUGUGCUUUUUCUACAGUUCUAAGCCAUAACUACAGUAACUCAAGGACAAACUCUUUCCCCUUGUUUCCAGGGAAAGGACUAAUCAAUCCCUUAAAAGAAGGAGAACAUGUAAGAACUUUCCUCCAGAUUUUCCUCACUUUAUUGUCUUGCUUCCCUACCAAGAAAAAUCAAAGCCAAGAUGAUCUCACAUAUAUCCGACUUGCAGCUCUCUCUCUCUCUCUCUCUCUCUCUCUCUCUCUCUCUCUCUCUCUUUUAGUUCAACCAAAUAUUGCUCCGACCGUCGACCUCCUCGGUGACAACAGCUAGAUUCUUGGAUGUUUUGGCCCUCUGCUUCAGUCAGAAUUCAGCAUUUGCUGGUUCUCUGGACAAACUUAUUUCAGCAAGGCCACCCUCAGCGGGAUACCUUCACUCCAUAACUGAGAUGAACUGAGAUGAGAGCUAGCAUCUUUACCAAUGAGAAUAAGGCUGGCACAGAUGCUACUCCCUCAGAAGUCUCAAAGUUCCCUUGUACCCAGAGCAAAAAAGCAUUAUGCCCGCUGGAAAACGUUCACAAGGAAUACGAGCUUCCGCGCAUGCCACCUUGGUUUGUUAAUGUGGGCAGUCAAAAACUAUACCUCGCUCUCGCUGGAAUUCUUAGACUCGUAGGUUUAUCUCUAAUGGCAGAUUGUAGAAGUGAACGGUCUUUGUCAAUUGUCACUGAUGUUCCACUGAGCUACAUACGGAAAUUGGUUUCUGAGGUCAGGUUGAAAGAGAAGUAAAGAAAAAUGGCAAUCUUGGUACCAUAGAACCGGCUCAGGACAGUUACUGCGGCAGGCUUGUACUGCUGUAUGUCUUCUAAAUGAGAUACUUUUUGGUGUAUCAGAUAAAUUAGUUGAUUCUUUUGCAUUGAUGUUUGACGAGUUUGGGUUAAGAUGGGAGGACACAGAGGGAUGUGGGGGAGGAUCUGAUAAUGUUGAGCCUCCCCAUUCAGUGCCUUCUGCAUCCAUUUGGAUGAUUUCUGAGGAGAAGCGUGCAAAGAGUCACUUGAUUGAUCGCAUUUGUAGUAUUUUACACGAAUACCUAUCUCCUGAACUUUGGAGUCUCCCUUUAGAUCAUAAAUCUUCUUUUGAGCAGCCUGACGGUGAAGAAGAUAUAACUUUGCACUUCUUCCAUGAUGCUGCUCUGCUCUACCAGGAAAGAUACAUUUUCCUUCAUCAAUACUGC